rnacentral:rRNA from 1 species
CGGGUGAGUAAUGCGUGACCAACCUCGCCCCAUGCUCCAGAAUAGCUCUUGGAAACGGGUGGUAAUGCUGGAUGCUCCAACUUGACGNCAUGUCUUGUUGGGAAAGUGUUUAGUGGCAUGGGAUGGGGUCGCGUCCUAUCAGCUUGUAGGCGGGGUAAUGGCCCACCUAGGCUUCGACGGGUAGCCGGCCUGAGAGGGCGGACGGCCACAUUGGGACUGAGAUACGGCCCAGACUCCUACGGGAGGCAGCAGUA